ensembl:lncRNA novel transcript, antisense to POU2F3
AGAUGAUGAGGAGGCACCAGCAAAAGAGACUGAGAAAGAGUGGGCAGGCAAAUGGAAGAAAGACCGGGCACAAUGAAGGGCAGGAUUAGAGUGCAGGGGCCAGCCAUGCCCUCCCGGGAGACUGGCCCCUAGCGCUGCCGGAGGGCAGAGAGUGGCACAUGGCUCAGCCUUUGGCACUCAGGUGAGGAAACUGAGCCUGAGACCGAACAAGGAUGAGGAAACUUGAGGCUCAGAAUGGUUAAUUACCUCGCCUAAGGUUACUGAUUAAUAAAUCACUGAGUAGAGACUGAAACCCACAUCUGUCUACCAGCAAAGGCUGUCCAUACUACACCAUGUUAUCUCCAAAUGAAACCUCAUAUGAAGUUGCUGCAGAAACUCUAUGGGAAAAAAAGACUUUUAGAUCUUCUGGAACUACAACAUCUAGUCUCCGUGAAUCUGCACCAUCUCUUAGCACUGGGUCCUGGGAGGAGGGGGUGCUUCCACCAGCUCCCUCCCCUUCUUCCUGCCAUGUUCCUACUUCCUAAGAAGCAAAGACAAACUUGAGUUAGGAUCAACAUGAGGAGCCCACAGUGGGUUAAUGUGACAGAUGCAUCUCCCUGGGUGGCAGAGUGGGCUUCUUGUGGGGUGACAGUCACUGAAGUAUGCUUCCAACUCGAGAGUCCUGGACAUGUGUGGACACGACAGUGUGCUGACCACGAGUGAAUGUAUAGGCAAGUCUUCCUGGAAAACAGGCCAUAUUUCUCACUGAGGCUCCCUGGAGUGGCUGGUGGUCACAGCACCCACCACUUGGACACUUUGUCCUGCUGAUACUAAUAAUAGCAAAUAGCAUUAUCAUCUGGCAGGCGCUCUUCUAAGUGCUUUACAAAUGUUGACUUGUGUAAUCCUCACAGCAGCACUAUGAGGUAGGGACUAUCAUUAAUCCUGUUUUAUAAAGGAAGAAACUGAGCAGAUAGCCUUUAAGUAACUACCCCAAAGUCAGAACAGAGGAGCCCUUCUCAACACAUCAGAGACACUUAGGGGUGCAGCAAUUCACACUGCUCAAACAGCCUUACAAAUACUAACUGAUGUGUGAAAAGGAUUGGAGUGUGUUCACAGACCCCAGCAUCUCAGAGCUGGAAGUUGUUUUAGAGACCCUCAGAUUCAGACCCUUCGUCUUAUGCACAAACUCCAGCCGAAAGAGGGACGGUAACUCAGUCAACAACAGCACUGAUGCUUUUGGGAGAUGCCUGCAGCUGUUUCCCAUGCUCCUGGCUUGGCACAAAGGCCUGCCCUCCCUGAGUCUCCCAGGGAUCUGCUGUUACCCCAGGAGCGCCCACCAGCAAGCUCACCAGUCCAGGGAGAGCCCAGCACUUUUCCACAUUCAGGUGUUCAUCGCCCUAAUCGUUUCUGAGGGAGGAAGGUGAACCCAAGGUAGAAAGUCCCCGCAACGACCAAAGCUGGUCUGUGCACUGUGGAGGUCCAGGACCAGCUACGGACAAAGAGCAGCCAUGAAUUCCUGCACUAGAAGGACAACUCCUUGAGGACAGGGAUGCUCUUCAUCUGAGCCCAGGAUCUGCCACCAAGCCAUCCUCCAAAGAUGUUGGUUAUACAACUACAAGCUAAGUCAAAGAGGAUCGGAGCCCAAACAGAGAAGACAGCUGUGGGUGUCAGAGGAGAAAAGACUGAAAGGGAAGCUGGAAAGAAAGGAAUGGGGAGAAAACCAGGAAAAAGGAUGGAGAGAGAGAGCUCAGAGCUGAGGAAAGCUGCACAAAAAUGCAAGAUCUGGAAACAGAUGGAAAGAAUUGUGAAAAGCAGAACUGGGCACACAUCCUUUAAAAUUCAGCCUUUAAAGAGGAUCUACUCCAAACCCCGCCUCUAUGGGGAGGAAAAUGAAGGUCCAUGUGGGGAAACGCUUGCCAAGAUAAUAUGCAGGGAGUUAAUGGCAGACCUAGGAUAAGAGUCUGAUAGAGUCAGACAAGGCCAAGUUUGAUUUCUGGCUAUAAGCUGUGUGAUAUUGGGCAAGUUAGUUUCUCACUCUGAGCUAUGGUUUCCUCAUCAAUGAAGAUGGGGUUAAUCGUGUCUCUAUCUCAUAGCCUUAUUGUAAGAAUUAAAUGAGAUGCUGUAAAUAAAGUUGCCUACAUGUGCCUGC